rnacentral:rRNA from 1 species
AGUCGAACGGAUCCUUCGGGAUUAGUGGCAGACGGGUGAGUAACGCGUGGGAAGCUACCUUGUGGUAGGGGACAACAGUUGGAAACGACUGCUAAUACCCUAUGAGCCCUAUGGGGGAAAGAUUUAUCGCCAUGAGAUGUGCCCGCGUUAGAUUAGCUAGUUGGUAAGGUAAUGGCUUACCAAGGCGACGAUCUAUAGCUGGUCUGAGAGGAUGAUCAGCCACACUGGGACUGAGACACGGCCCAGACUCCUACGGGAGGCAGCAGUGGGGAAUAUUGGACAAUGGGGGCAACCCUGAUCCAGCCAUGCCGCGUGUGUGAUGACGGCCUUAGGGUUGUAAAGCACUUUCAGCAGUGAAGAUAAUGACAUUAACUGCAGAAGAAGCCCCGGCUAACUUCGUGCCAGCAGCCGCGGUAAUACGAAGGGGGCUAGCGUUGUUCGGAAUCACUGGGCGUAAAGAGUACGUAGGCGGACUGAUAAGUUAGGGGUGAAAUCCCAAGGCUCAACCUUGGAACUGCCUUUGAUACUGUCAGUCUUGAGAUCGAGAGAGG